AAAUCAAAGGAACUAAGGGCGCACAGUGGAUGCC
rnacentral:rRNA from 1 species